rnacentral:hammerhead_ribozyme from 1 species
AUUCAGCUGACGAGUGUUGAAUAAGACGGAACGUGCAUCCUGAAU